rnacentral:lncRNA from 1 species
GAUGAUGGAAGAGGAGGAGGACAGGGGUCUCAGUGUCCAGGGUCAAGUGUCGUCACCUAUUUUGGAUCUUCUGCUGGUAUCAGUUGUGUUAACCUCCUGCUUGGCUGCUUGGCCCUCUACACUUCUUUAACAGCUGCCCUUCUCCACUCCCAGGACUCAGUAGAUGAUGUUCCUCAAGCUUUCUCCUCAUGCUUGAAACAGACAUGGAUUCAUCCUAAUGCUGUCUCUCAAGCUCAAAUUAUGUCCAAUGUGGCAAAAGUUUUUUCAGUGGCAGUGCUAAUGAAUCAAUGUGUUAUCGUUUGUCAAGCUGAGAGAGAGAGACACUUUGGUCAUUUGUAAAACAGUGCAGAAACAUUUGCUGCAGAACAUUAGAUCAGCACACAGAUACAACCAGAGUCAUAUGCCAGAAGACUCCCUCUCAUCCCCCACUGGGAAUAGUAACAGAGAAGAUCCUGUUGAAACCUAUGGAGGAAUGUUCUAGCCCAAGCAAUACACCGCCAGGAGAUGUUCCAGAGGGUGUUCAUUGAUCUGCUGUGUUGACAGGUGGCAGAGCUACACCGACUGACUCUUGCAAUUAUGCUCUAGGUAAAUAGGACAGACAUCUUGUCCCUCUCUAUGGUCUGUGUCCCCAGGAUUGCUGUGGGGCCUCUGGCUGCUUCACGCUGGAGACAUUAACUUUAUGUUCCUCAGCCCGGCUGACCUAAACUAACCCCACUCCAGCCUCCGCCCUAUAGCCAUCCAUCCAUCUCUCCCUCUCUCAUUCAGUCAGUCAUUGAGGCAGAACAUGGCUUCAGACAGCAGCCUGGUAGGGGGUCCAUGGCCACUGGUUGCUCUGACUUGCACUAUACAAGUACUACAGUAUACCGUGGUGCUUGGUGGGCUGUAGUUCUGUGGAAUGCCUGUGGAAUGCUGUUACUCCUGCUGGCUCAGAUACGAUAGCGGGAUUUUCUUGCUGUUGUGAUCUUAUAUCGGUCCGCAGAUGUUGAACUACAUGUUUUACUCCUUCCCUGUCGAGGUUCUGGGCUCGUAUGAUAUGCUUUGUAAAGCUGUUCGAGGGAAGGCUUGUACUGAAUUGACUGGAAAUGUUUACAGGUUGGUGAUGAGAUAGACACAGCCAUCAG